GUCCGGAUGGCGCAGUGGUCAGCGCAUGUGUCUAAUAAGCACGACACCUGGGUUCGAAUCUCAGUCCGGCACA